rfam:Caldisalinibacter kiritimatiensis strain L21-TH-D2 NODE_114, whole genome shotgun sequence.
GACCCAUUAGCUCAGUUGGUAGAGCACCUGACUUUUAAUCAGGGUGUCCGGCGUUCGAGUCGCCGAUGGGUCA